UGAAUUCACUACUGUAAGUCGCUCUGGAUAAGAGUGUCUGCUAAAUUACUAAAA
rfam:Salmo salar isolate Sally breed double haploid chromosome ssa25, whole genome shotgun sequence.